AUCGACAUUUCGAACGCACAUUGCGGUCCUCGGAUACUGUUCCUGGACCACUCCUGGCUGAGGGUCGCAUCCAUCAGACUGCCGGCUUGUAUUUUUCGAAGUGCAAGUCGCGCGAAAUUGAGAGUUCGCUCGGGUUCCCGCACGGGUCCUGCNGGCGUCUCUUUAAAUCACAGAACGGUCGUUUCCGAGCCCUCGCGGGUCAGGUACGACUUCACGAGCGUCGGCGCUUUGCGCCCGUACGGCUCCGCGUUCAGCGCGAGACCGCCCGGUUGACGUGUCCUAGACUACUUUGACUAGAAGACGUCUGAUCGAGNGCGCGUCCGCGUGCGGGGCAUCCAAACGUACGGUCGCAUGUUCGACAGUGCCGCGCGUGCCAAAAUCC
rnacentral:misc_RNA from 1 species